rnacentral:tRNA from 1 species
GCAAUGGUGGUUCCAUGGUAAAACUCUUUCCUUCCACGUAGAAGACCUGGGUUCAAUUCCCAGCCAAUGCA